UACGUAGGGUGCAAGCGUUAAUCGGAAUUACUGGGCGUAAAGCGUGCGCAGGCGGUUUUGUAAGUCUGUCGUGAAAUCCCCCGGGCUCAACCUGGGAAUUGCGAUGGAGACUGCAAGGCUAGAAUCUGGCAGAGGGGGGGUAGAAUUCCACGUGUAGCAGUGAAAUGCGUAGAGAUGUGGAGGAACACCGAUGGCGAAGGCAGCCCCCCUGGGUCAAGAU
rnacentral:rRNA from 1 species